AGUGGCUAUGCAGCUUGGUGGUCUAGAACCACUGUCAGAUGCUGGAGCCCAUGGGGUGGCUGCAAACCAUGGCUGAAUGUUAUGAAAUAGAUGAGUGAUGUUGAACAGCAGCUUGACUCAUUGAAUCUUCACCAGAGCCCUGUGAGGGAACAUCAAUUCUGCAACUGGGUUCAGAUUUACUCUACUGUGGCUGCAAGAAUGUUCUGGGGGCAAGACCUUCAAUCAGCACUUGAUAUGAAGAGAAUAUUCCCAAGUAUUUUAGUGGUAUUUUCAUUCCAUUUUUUAACUUCAGUGAUUACUACUCCU
rnacentral:lncRNA from 1 species